rnacentral:tRNA from 1 species
GGGGAUUUAGCUCAGUGGCAUAAGCACCUGCCUGGCAAGCAGGAGGUCAUGAGUUUGAUCCCCG